CCGACUCCUAAGGUGAUCUGCCCAACUCGGCCUCCCAAAGUGCUGGGAUUACAGGUGUGAGCCACCACACCUGGCCAAGAAGCUACAUUUUUAUCUGAACUACGAUCUUGAUAUGGGAAACGCUAGACCACAUUUAAGGGAAGCACCAGCCAAGAGCAGGGACUUUCAAACACUUUUAACCACAACCUAGAGUUAAGAAAACAUUUUGUAUUGUGACCCGCCAUUCAUAUACCUAUGCCCACAAAAAUGUGAACUUUCUGAUAUUUUCCAACUCUGUUCCAUUCCAUCGUACUUUUUAAAACUAAUGGUCAAGUUUCAUAAAUUGAUUUUAUUCCCCACUAGUGGGUCACAAUUUGCAGUUUAUAAAAUACUGACUUAGAAAGGUUAUAUUUGUACCACAUGCCUUCUUUUUUCCUGAUUUAAGAGUCUGCACAUUAGCGAGACAGAAAGUCAGCUGUCAUUCCUGUAUACCUCAGUUAGCUCACCUGAUUAUUCCCGGCAAGGCUGGAUUUACUCCUUAUCUUCUCUUCCCGGAAAGAAAAGGAUGAAGUUUUUUCCCUUGAAAGGGUUUUUGAAAGUGUCAUUUAGUGAUUUCCAUUAGUCCCACCACUCCAUUGAUAAGGGUUAUGGCAGCUCUGUGUCCCAUUAGUGAGCUCUUUCCCCUUCAGCUCUGUGGGACAGGCUGCAGGGCCCACAUCUGCAUGAGCAUCUCUUACCUGGCACAGCACAAAAUUUAUUUAGCAUUUGGCCUAGGGUUUGUCCCACUGUUCUAGAGUUUGCUACCAUUACUGUUGUAGGUAUGAAUCAUUUUUCAAGUGUAAGCUUGUGACUUCUUUUUUCCUGCUGAAAUUAUUGAUCAAGGGGAUUUCUGAAUGAUUUUGUGUUGGAUUUAGCUAAAAAGAGUUUUAUUUUCCUCCUGCUGCUGAAAUAAUCUCACAUACCGUCAUCUUAGCAAGUCCUUUAGAUUUCAUUUGGGAAUUAAGAUAUGAAAGCUCUUUCCAGGGUUAUUUUUAUGGGAUGAGUAUGUAAGCUGAAAAUAGGAAAUAUAGUUUGGUUAUGGGGAGCUACAUUUGGAAUGAUCAAGCACAAAUUCCUAAUUUAUUUUAUGUUAGCAAGAGAAGGCCGUCUUUGUUUUUCUUCCUUUCCUCUCCUUUUAUUAUUUUCUUUUUUUUCCAUUUAUUCAGCUACCUAUAUGAUACAUAUUUAUCGGAGCCUACAGUGUACCAGGCACUGGUGUAAAAAUGCAAUGCCAACAUGUCCUAAUACUCAGGAGACUACAAUCUAAUGGUGAGGGAGACUCUAGUUAAUCAAUAAUUAUAAUGUUUUAAUGAAAGAGAUAUCUGAGUCAGGGCAGUCAGGUAAAGCUGUUUCAAGGGAGUGACACUGAGCUAAAUUUCAAAGGAUGAGCACAAGUGUGAAGAAGCCAAAGAGGGAGGAACUGCACUCAUUUCAAGACUGAAAAGUACUUUAAAUUUGGAAUGUUGAAGGUACCUUGGUAAUGUACAUUUUUGCAUUUCUUUUAUGCUCUCCUGUCUUCUAAGUGUUUUAACUUCCAUCAAUGAAAUUUCUUCGUUCCAAAUUAUAUCACCAAAAAUGACAUUUGGAACAAACAUCAAAUUUAAACAGAUUUCAUUGCUUCUUGUCCACGCUUUUCUUGGAAACCACAGAGAGAAUGACCUUUGGGUGAUCCACUAGUUGUUUCUAAAUGGGAAGCUCCCUGCUUUUCCCCAAGGCACCAGCAGCUCUUUCACACAUUGCCACUAGCAAUGAACAGUCUCAGAAGUUCUCGAAAGAUGGUUUUGUCACUUGUCUUACCUCUCUUCCUGUUGACUUGAAGCCUGACAAACAGUGAUAAGUAAGAGUGACAAAUGGCCAUUACUUACUCUCCUAGAGAUCUCCCAUAAGGAAAAAGCCUGAAUGUGGAGCUGGACAUGCCUCCAUUACACUCCCAACUUGAAGAAAACAGAACCCAAUACAACUAAAAUUGUCUAAUUAAAUUAUUUGCAAGUAAGUAAGUUAGUAAAGGAAGGCACUCAUGCCCAAAAGAAUGUGAAAACAAGAACAUAGAGUUAGAGUUUACCUCAUCAACUUAUCUUAAUGUGUUUCUAGUAUCUUUAUGCAGGCAUUUUUGUUUCAGUAAUAAUUUAUGCUAAUAGUAUCUAAUAUGUAAACAACUUAGUUUAUUCUAACAGUGCUUCUAAUUGUUCUAUAUUGUGGAAUUAUUAUAAGGCAGACUCAUUGCAUAUCUUAUCCAAGGACAGUUAUUAUUGGAAGUGCAAGAAAACCUAAUUAAAACAUUUUAAUACUUCAACACAGUCAUCCAUUACCAAUCUGUGACACUGCGUGGAUUAGAUGUAUAUUGUAUGCUUUACACAGUAGUGUCCCCUUAUCCACUGGGAACACAUUCCAAGACCCCCAGUGGAUGCCUGAAACCUCAGAUAGUACCAAACCCUAUAUAUAAUAUGUUUUUUUCCUAUAUAUGCAUACCUAUGAUAAUGUUUAUUAAUUAGGCACCAUAAUAGAGUAACAGCAAUAACUAGAACAAUUAUUACAAAAUGCCAGCAUCACUACUCUUGCAUGUUUGUGCCAUUAUUAAGUAAAAUAAAGGUAACUCGAACACAAACAUGUAAGCACUACCAUACCACAACAAUGGAUCUGAUAACUGAUGUGGCUAUUAAGUGACUAAUGGACAGGCAGUGUAUACAAUGUAAAUACAGUGGAAAAAAGGAUGAUUCACAGGAUGGAGCAAGAUGGCACAAGAUUUCAUCAGGCUGCUCAGAAUAAGAUGCAAUUUAAAACUUAUGAAUUGUUUAUUUUUGGAAUUUUCCAUUUAAUAUUUUCAGGCCAAGGUUGACCAUGGGUAACUGAGCAGAAAAUGAAACUGAAGAUAAGAGGGGACUACUGUACUGUUGCACCUCAGUGUUAACCAUUAAUUCUCUUUUGGCUCCAAGAUUCAGAAAUCUAGGCCAGGAUAGUUAAGAUCUGAGUUAUUGUCUGGUGAUUCAGCCAAAAAUCAUCAAAGAAGUUUCCUCCCCAAAUUCCUUGCCUUGCUUCAUUAUCUGUCCUCUGUGUUAUUCUUAACACUAUUAAAAUAUAAUAGAGACCAGGAAAAAAUUUAUCUCUCUCUUGCUAACCAUGUCUCAUAUAUUUGUCUGAGUGUAUAAGCAUUAUAAUUAUAGACACUUCCAAAGAACAUAGAGAUAAAAGGAGACAUCUAAAUCAAUGUCCAGAAUGCCAGAACUAUUAUUACUUAAUAUGAGACAGAGAAGCAGGUUAUAGUUUUGAAUAUUUGUCUUAGGAUUAGGAAAAUGUAAAAGAAACCUCUUGCGUUUGGCGUAUAAGAAGAGACAGCAGCAAAUUGUUCUGUGAAAGAGACAUAAAUGAGAGUAUAGGGAAAGGCUGAUAGCAGGACCUGGAAUCAUACUACACUGGGUUCAAGUCCCUGCUCCACCUUUUUCUAGUGUGUCUGUAUCACCUUGGGUGAGCUACUUAACGCUCUAUGUCUUAGUUUCCUCAUCUUUAAAUGACAUGGAUCCACCAUUGUGUAUCAUACAGAAUACCUGCACUGUCCUAAAAAUCCUCUGAGUUCUGCCUGUAGAUUCCUUCUCCCAACCACUGACAACCACUUAUCAUUUGACUAUUUUGACUGUUUUUACUUUAGAUUUAAGAUGAUGUAUUCAUCAUUUGUUUGGAUUUUUAAAAGGUUUUGACUUGUUUCUUUUUGCUUCAGGAAAAAUCAGCAUAAUAACAGUCUUAGUUUAUUUUGAUUUGUUGUAGCAGAAUACCUGAUACUGGGUAAUUUAUAAAGAAAAAAGAUUUCUUUAGUUCACAGUUCUGCAGGCAGAGAAGUUCAAGAGCAUGGCCCUGACAUCUGGUGAGGGCUUUCCAGAUGCAUCGCAACAUGGUGAAGGUCACAGGGGAAACCGACACAUUUGAAGAGACAAAACCCAAGGAGCAUCCUGACUUUCUAACAGCCCAGUCUUACAGGAACUAAUCCAGUCCCAUGAGACCUAAUCCAGUCUUGCCAGAACAAGAACUCACUGCUGCAAGAUUGGCACCAAGCCAUUUAUGAGAGAUCCACCCCCAAGACUAAAACAACCUCCCCCUAUGCCCUACCUCCCGACACUGCCACUUUGGGGAUCAAAUUUCAACAUGAGUUUUGAUGGGAACAAACACAAUAUAUCUAAAUCACAGCAAUAACAAUAGUAACAGCACACCUAACAUUUACUGAGUGAUUGCAAUAUGCCAGGGACUGUCCUGAGAACUUUACAUGUAUUGACACAUUUCAUUGUCAGAACAAUUAUGCAAUUAGACACUAAAGUUAGCUCCAUAUUAUAGAUGAAGAUAUAGAGAGAAAUUUGAUGACUUAGUCAAGUUCACACAACAAGCAAGUGCUAAAGCCAAGUUUUGAACCCAGGCAGUCUGUCUUCAACCAUCAUUAUCUGAUGAAAUCAAAGCUUUUAAGCUUCAUAAAUCAUAUAUGAAUUAUUUACAUAGUAUAGAGCUAGCAUUCCAGUUCAGUGAAUGAUUAUUCAAGUAUUACUUUAAAAACAAUUUUCCCUUGAGGAAGUAUAAUCACAAAUAAAAUGUUCCUGAGAAUUCAGAAAAAAAAAAAAGUAUGUUCUUUGGUUCUUGUGUCAGUCAUGGAGACAGAAGCCCCACUAUGUAUUUUAAACAGAAGUUACUUAAUACAGCAAAUUGGUUACAAAAUGUUGGAAAGGCUGGAGAUGCAAAAAAGAAGGUGAUGCAGUUACCAGGGAUUGAUGGCAAUAUGAAGUCACUACCACAUAAGCUUGAGAGUAAAGGGAAGAAUGCUGUUAGUCAGAGCCCACACUCACUGUAACUAGGGCUACUGGAGUAUCCACCCAUGCUGCGGGGCAUUUGGGACCACAGCAGCUACUACCUUGCAGAAAGCUAGGAGUCAAGAAACUCACAGUUACCUGUGCCCACCACAGCUGUUUUUGGAACCAGAUCCAAGGCUGCCAGAGUUUGCACUGCUUCCGUCAUCUCUGAAACCAUGCUUCUAGAGCAAGAAGCCUGGACCUCACACAUACCUACUGCUGUUGUUACUGCCUAGAACAAGGUCAGAAACAGAGAAGGAAAAUAAAAGUGGCUCAUCCCUUUGUGCCACCUUACAUCUCCUGCCAUUGCCUCCCAUUGACAAGACUACUCUGCAGACACCUGACAAGGGAAUCUGAGCAAUAGACGUGGCAGAACUCCAGCCCCUAGUAAUGCAGAGAACAUCGGAGCCAACAGGCAACUUUCUGUUAUAGCACUUUGUUUGUUUUAGAAACAACAGAAACCAUUUAAAAAUAAACAUAUAUUGAUGAACUUAUUACUCAAGAGAACAGCCAGGGUUAUUAGUUGCCAACACUGGGUCCCACCAUAUUUAAGCAGGAAAGUCAGUCAUUAAAGGAUAUGCUGGAUAAUCCACAGAGAUCACAGAGUCUGGGGAGUCGGGCAAUGAGGGUACCCAGCCAGAUAAAAUGCCUGGACUGUACCCCAGGGCUGCUUCAGCAAAAGCACUAUUGCCACCUCUGGGCACAGACGCCAUGCUGUGUAUGGCUAACACUGGGCAUUAACCACCAGAAUCUCCACUGUCCAUUCUCAUCAAAAAAUGGAUUCUACACAAUGCCUGCAUCUUCACUUUGCUCUCUUUAGAAUCAAAGUCUUGCACUAUGUGUUUAUCACAUGCCUAUCUGCAAGAGCGGUGAGAGAAAACAAGUUUCUGGCAUCUACCUUGGGAACAUGGUCCUCGUAGUGUCAUUCAAUCCUGGGGAUAAACCAAUGUUUGCAAAUUACCUGACAUAAUGACCAUGUAGCCGUUAACUUUUGUUUGAUAUACAUGCUACACGCCAGCUACAAUUAUAAUCAUUUUACAGAUAUUCAUAGUGCUCUAUGAGGUAGCUACUGUUAUCAUUUCUGUUUUGCAAAUGAGGAAGCAGAACACAAAGGGAUCUUUUUAAUGAGCUCAUGGUCCCAUAGCUACAAACUGCCAGACCCAGGAUCUGAACUUAGGUUUCCUGGCUUCUAAGUUAGCUCUUAGCCACUCACCUGUACUGUACACGAUAAAUGUUCAGUAAACAGUAGCUACUUCUGUUCAUCUUUUUUUUUUCCUGGCACUUGUGACAUAAAGAGGGGAGAAGUCAGAGGAUGGUGGAGAGGUCCUCAGAGGCCAGGUCAUUAAGGAGCUUGGAAUCAUAUUGAGGAGUAAGGAUUUUAUUCUAAGGGUGAUCAGUUCCCCAUCCAACAGCAUAUUCACACCCCCUGAGCUGGAGCAUUGGCAGUAGAAGUCAGAUCUGUGACUAAGUGACAGUUAAGAGUGCAAAGAGGGAGAGGAGAAGGGGAACAAAUGUAGAAUUCUUCUUGUUGUUGCUAUUGUUUGGUUCUAAAACAUUUUUUUUAACAUGAGUAGAAAGAAGAGUCCAGGAAGCAGGCUCAAAAAGACUGGUCAGAGAGCUAAGAGGAGAAACAAAGGAUAUUAUUAUUCUAGAUUCCAGGAGCUAUCAUUUGAAGAGGGUGAGAGUGGUCAGGAGUCUCAGCUACUGCAGGGAGGUCAAGGAAGAGAAUGAGAAACUGAUCUUUAAAUUGAGAAACGUGGAGAUUAUUGAAAUUAUCUUAACAAUAGUAAUUUCAAUAGGAUAGUUAAAGUAGAUGCAAAUUGCAAAAGACUGAGGGAUUAACAGCAGAAUGUGGAGAUAGAAAGCACAAACAACUUUUACAGGAUGGGCGAUUGAGAGGGGAAAGAGUAAGAACAUAUCAAGGGUAGCUUCUUUUUUAUGGGAGAAACUUGAAAAUGAAGGAAGCUGGUGGGAGGAUCCAGUUGAGAGAAAAUUGAUGAUGUAGACAAGAGAAGAGAUAAUGACAACAGAGAGACCUUGAGUAACUGGGAGAAGAAUAGAUGGAGGGACCAGUCUUAGGUAGUAGUUUCUUUCUGCAGGACAUGAGGAAAAAAUGGCGCAGUUAUAGACACGUCUGUCUCUGUGGGGAAAGGAGUGUGAGAAAGUCCUCUCCAGAAAGACACCAUUUUUUUCCCCAUGAAAUAUGAGAAAUAUCAUCUGCUGAGGCAGAAGAGUUUCAGGAUGGGGUAUGGUGUCUAGGGAGAGUGAUGGAGGUUAGGAACAGCCACUGAAGGGAAUGGGAAAGACAGCUAACCAAAGGGUGGCUCAGUGGCCCAGGGAGCUCAGCUGAGGUGAGAGACAGUAUAUUUUCAGCAUGAUUUUCUGUAUUAGUUUGCAAGAGUCUGGCCAUAGGAUCAUAGAGACUGGGCAUAGGAGCAUAGAUCUGAGAAGGGUCCUCCAUUAGCAGGGCGGGAGCAGAGGCAUUGAUUCUGAGAAGAGAUGUGCUGAAAUAAUGUGCCAUCAAGCCUAGGCUGUAUCAGAAGAAACUUGGAGAGAGAGGUGGCCCAGGCUGGUGUAGGGGAAUGGAGGAUGACCUGUGAUCACGGCACAUUGGCAACUUUCAUGAAUUCAAAGAUAAAAUAUGUCAGGAGCAAUGGAGUGAGAUUUUUGGAAGGAUAAGGACUAUGAUCAUAGCAGGAUAUUGAAGCUGUUUCAGGUGAUGAUUCCUUAGGGUAGGAACCUGGGAGUGGAUCAAGGCAAAGGCUGCUGGAGAAAAACUCAGAGUUGAGAGAUUUCAAGAAUAUUUAGAGCUGUAACUUAAGAAACAAAAAUUACUUUUUAAGUGAAAUGUUUUACUUACCUAGAGUCAGGAGGGUUUUUUUCCUUCCCACAACUCAGCUGAAAUGAUGAUGCGAUUACUUUAGUGAAUAUCUCAAUUAUCAACUUAGACCUGUUAGGUGUUCUUUAAUAGCAAUGUUGCUAUGCAGAAAUGUUCUUGAUUGUCCUACAUAAGGCAGGCUAACUCAUAAAACAAAUAAACCCAAAAAUGUAUCACGGCCUAACCGUGAGAGAAGAAAUGGUAUAGACUAUGCUUCAGCCUAAGAACCAGGCAGAUAUUUGAUUGAAUCUAUAAAAAAAUUUUUUUAAACAGGAUGGGAUUAAAUAAGAUAUGGAUAUAUUAUACUUGGCUGCUUUCCCUUUGCUUUUUUUUUUUUUUUUUUUUUAGUUUUGGUUACCAGCAAAGCGUCGCCAAAAGAUAUCCAUACUUAGAAAUGCAUGUAGGAUCACUCAAUGAUGUGCUAAACACUCGUCAAAAGCAGAGAUAAAGGAUUUUGGCCAAGGACAGAUAACAGAGGAUGGAUGGCCUAAAGAGAGGAGAGAAAAGAAGAGGACACUACUGUCUGCCUGAAACAGGAGUGGCUGCUGACCCCAAGAUCAACAGCACCAAAGUGGAACACAUUGUCUUCCUCUCGGAACAAACGCCUCUGCCUUCCAACUUCUUUAUUUCUGUCACUGCCCCCACCCCACCCCCCAGCCCAGUCUUCUAGUUUGCUGGAUGUAGACACUGGAAGUUACUGUGUGUUUCUCACACUCUCCUAAGUCCUGCAGACAUCUCAUAAGUCAUCAGAAGCCUCUCGAUUAAUCCUUCAUCACAUCUCCAGCAGCCUGAAGAAUGCUUUGUCAGGCUCAUGACACUCUGCUGCUGGAGGAGCAGCAGUAGGAGGGGUUGUGGGGCCAUUCUUCCUUAGCCAUCCUACCUGGUGGGUGACUCUGGGUUUUCUUGCAGGUGGUUGGGAUUGCCCUAGGAGUGCUUCUGUGGAUUGGGUGAUGAGACUCUACUCUUCCAAGACUCUGCACCCCUCCAACCCUGGGAUAAGAUUCUAUUAAGUGCAGUGCAACUACAUGCCAUUUUUAAAAGGCAAAGCAGAAAUACAGGGCUCCGCUUUAUAGAUUAAAAGCUUACAGGAACUGUAUGGCAUUGAUUUUUUAAAACCACACACACAUAUGCACACACACAAAUGUGCACAUUUACACAUGCAAACUUUUUUGAAAAUUCUCAUGUGUGAGUGUAUUUAAUUCUGCCUUAUAGUGAAAUUACAACACCAAAGAGGCACCCUUUAAUUAGCAACAUUCUUAUACAGAGAUAUUAAUGGUUAUGCUAGCUAGGGUAGGCUAAUUGGUGAAACAUAUAAACCCCCAAAUAUAUAAUGAAACAAAAAAAGAGGGCAAUUUCUUGCUCGUAUAAGGUCUAAAAUGGGUUUUUCUCAUUGAUAGCUGGCUCUCUUUUCAGAAGGAAUUCAGAUCCUUUCAUCUGUGGCUCUUCAACAUGUAGCUUCAAAGGUCUGCUUCAAGCCAGUGAAAAGAAAACACAUAUGAAGAAUAGAUUGCACAUGCAAGACUUUUCCAGGCCUGGAAGUGGUACUUAUGACUUUCACUCACAUCCCAACAGCCAGAACUCAGUUAUAUGGGAAAUGUAAUCUAACUGUGUGUCCAUGAAGAACAGGACAUCUGGGAAGCAAUUACCAGUUUUUUCUACAGUGGUAUAGCAACUGGGUCAGUGUGGAGAAUUUACAGGGCAUCAAGGAAGAACCACUCUUCUGUACCCAACAUGGUGGUGGAGGUACACUAGAGACUCUUGGUAGAGGAAUCGGUGAGACCUACAAGUGAACAGGAAGCCAGUGCUUACAUUUAGGGGGAAAUAUUUGAAAUUCUAAUAAAGUUUUUUCAACUUCUAAAAUAUAAUGAAAGGAAUUUUCUUAAAUGAACACACUCUUCAAUAAUACAAAGUUGGCAAAUUGGCAGGUUGAGAUGUAGGCAGUAGCAAUGUGAACUAGUUGGAAGUAGGCAAGAAGCCCAGACUAGAAAAACAAAGCCCAGGCAAAAAUCCAAGAAUGCCAGGGCAAUACCAGCAUGAGAAAUCAGAUAAGUGAAUAGAAACCAGGAAGCCAUAGAAAUUUUGGAGCAGAGUAAAAUUAAAGUUACAGAACCCGGAUGUGAGACCUGGCCCUACUAUUUACAAAUGGACACAAGAGAACCCACUUAACUUUCUCUGAGUUUGUUUAUUCAUGUGUAGAUUUGGAGUAGUCAUAUCUACCUCAUAAUAACUGGAGAAUCAAAUGAGAUGAUGCAAUGAAAACUCAUGUACCCUGGCAAAAGGAGAAAAAGGGCUGAUUUUAAGUGUUUCUGUUUUUAUAAACUUAGGGUUAAGGAGGGCACAGUGCUAUUUAGGAAGAAGAAGAUUUGAAACCUCUUUUUUUGACAGAUAAAUCCCUGGUCCUGAACUGGCAGAAAAGGUUGAGAAGAACUACCUUGUGUAAACUCUAUCUUCAUGGGGAAAACUUGCAGAUUCAGUUUCCUUUAUAAAAGUCCAUUCUUCCUGGCUUCCUGCAUGCCUUUCUCCCUCACUCCUUUCUCUCUGCUUUUGCUUCCUCUUUUUUCUUCUCUCCUUUAUUUUUCCUCUGUUUUUUUCCUCCAUCUGGUUUCUUUGUUAGGUGAGCCUGGACAGUGAGGAGAGUGUAACCAAUUUCCUGUAUAAGGAUUCUAGACAGGAGCUUGCUAAGGUUGGGUUUUAAGGGUUCAAUCAAUAAUAGAAACAAAAAGGAUGUGCUGCUGGCAAAUGUGUUAUUUGAUGUAACUCUUUAGGGGAAAAGCUGGCAAUGUACACUCUUAAGUUGAUCGUUCUCUUUGACCUGCAAGAAUUUUUCAUGGUAUCCAGCAUAAGGAAAUAAUCAGAAAAAAUAGAAGCCUUAUGAAUAAAGAUGUUCAUCAUAGUUUUACUUAUAGCAAUAAAAAGUUUGAAACAGGCUAAAUGCUCAAAGGAAGACAAAUGGUAAAUUCAACUAUGUUAUAUUAACACAAUAAAAUAUGUAAUUAUGUUUUGAAACACCUUGGUAAAAUGGAGAGUAUCAUGAUAAAAUAGCAAAUGAAAUUAGCAGAUUGCAGAAUGAUCACAACCAGGCCAAAGGUGGAAAUGAAUCAUAAUGACAUCAGUUGCUGUUCAUGAGUGGAUAAAUAUACUUUUUUCUUCUUUCUACUUUUCCAUAUUUUCUAUAUUUUAUAAUGUACCUAUAUUAUUCUUAUAUUUGAAAACAUAAAGUGAGUUCUAGUUUCUGCAAAAGUUAUUGAUACUAAUUUUUCUCAUCUUAGCCGUGUGCUGGUGUAACUAAUAGCAAAACGAGUUCACUUUGUGCACCAUAAUGUAAAGUGGACUUUUUAGAAGUGAAUACAAAUGUCUAUAUAGAUAUAUCGGUACCAGAUACAUAUACAUGUAUGAGUUUUAGCAUUAGAAAUUCCACACUCAUAAGUCACAGUUUUGCUUUAUAGGAUUUAAUUGGCAAGAAGGAAACAAAUAUAAAUUGGUACAAAAUUUUCAGUCUGUCAUUAGAAUAGCAUAGAUUCCAUGGCCUGACUUAAAGCAUUUGCCUGUAUCACAAGGAUUCUGUUGGAAUCAGAGUUGGAGUGAACUUUUCUCUGAGAUGAUUUGAUGAUUCUUUUUAACUCUGUCCUCUAUAUCCAUGGAAGCUGUGCCUCCUUGUAAAAAUAUGGUGAUGGGGACUACAAGUAAUGAAAAUAUUUAGAUAAUCGCUUAUAAGCAUUGACAAACAAUAUCAAAGGCCGUUACCCCAUAGACCUUCCUGAGAGUGGCUGGGUCCAUUGCAGUACACAAUGGGAGAUGAAAGAACUUAAUGUAUGUAGCCAUAUUCAAAAGUCCAUCUAAUUUGAAAAAUGUUGAUUUAGAUCACUCGAAAGUUCCAAGGAAGACUUAAAUGCAUUGAGUAGUCACUGUGAGUUGAGAAGAAGUAAAUAGAUUAUCAGGCAAACAGGUCAUCAACAGCUAGUCCAGAAAUUCAAAAAGGACUCCUGACAAUGUUCUGGAAGAAUCAUGUGGUAUUAUACCACUAAAAGGAUAGGGAAAGAUGGCUGAAGUAGAGCAAAAUAUUGUUUUCUUUAUUAAACAAAAAAUUGUAUGAACCAUAAAAGGGAUAUGGAGAGUUCCAAUUUCAAUAUGUACAGCUUUAUUUGGAUUCAUUGAAAGGUGUAGUACCUCCUACAACCAGGUAAAAUUGCAUUCAAUAUUAAAAUUACAGUACAGUAAACCAUAAAAUUUACCCAUGAGACUGAAAAUGACAGAUCUAGAAUAAGUAAGGAAAAUAUACCACAGCUGACAGAGAAAAUAUAUGACUUGAAUGUGAAUUUCCUGCCUAUGCAAAAGAAGGUUUACUCUGAGUCCAGGAAGCAUCAUGGUCUAUUUAUGAUAAUAGAAAUUUGUAGGCAUCUGGCUUCAGGUGAACCUCUCUGAUAUUUGGCAUCAAUAUUAGUCCAGGCACAAAGCUGUAUUUUAUUUUCUUGCAGGGCUUUCAUGAUGAAAUGGAAAAUAUUGAUUUAUGAUCACCCCACCAUAGAUCAGUCCAAACACAUGGAUUUUGUGCUUUGUUUUAUUUAAAGGGCCCGAUCAGAGAUUGCUGUUUUGCUUUAUAUUCAAAGCUUCAGGUCUGCUGCAAAACCGAAACAGCUCCUGUUCACAUUCUAAUGGAGAGAACAGUUCAGACUUAACCUCAGCAGAAUGGAAGUAUUUUCACACCAACUGUUACUUCACUCAGAUCUCCUCAUGUGGUUCACAGAACUCUUUGGUGGGCCCAGUCACUCCAGGAUUUUAUUUCUUGCAGACAUGAGCUUAUUAUGUUCAGUCCCUGGAGGAUACGGUUUGGGUAAUUCUUGCUGGCAACACUCUCCUAAAGCCUGUCAUGAAUCUCAUUGCCCCAUCUGCAGAAUACACUUCCAGAGGAAAGCCACUAAAGUACUGCAGAUGACAAAUGGGACAUUCUCCUAAGCUAAGUAGAAAAACUACCCAUCACCUCCCUCCAUUGCUGAAUUAUACACAGCAGAAAUCAUGUACAAUGUCAAAUCGACCUUGAUAAAUUCUACUUGUUAACCCAGCAGAGCACCUCCAGCAAUGAAAAGGGAAGGUAAAGGAGAAAAAGUGACCUCAGAACUAACUUUUUUAUGUCUCUCAGAUAUGAACUCUUUUGCCUUCAGAUGUUCAAGUUAUUAAUUUCUUCCCAGCUUUAACUUGGUUUGGCUCCUAGUCCUAAAAUGAAAAGAUGACAUUUGAGGUUUUGUGCUGGUAGAUUAAAAAAAAAAAAAAUCCCUCUGCACACAAUAAGCACACACAUUUUUGAGCAAACUACAACCAGACUUAGAUGCCUAUGAAAUAGGAUAGGCUGAAUUGAGUCACAAAGUAAUGAGUUUUCAGUUGUCUAGCCAAGCUCAUGUUUGUCUCCUUAUUUGCUUACUCCCUGCCAAAACAGAAACAUCAGAGUAACAAAAAGAUAUCAGAAACUAGCACUGCUUUAAAAGGAGACACUAUCUUUAGUUUGCUCAUUUAUUCAACAUAUAUUUAUGGGAUGCCUGCCAUAUGCCAGACAUUGUUCCAGGCACUGAGGAUACAACAGUCAUCAAGAGACCUAAAAAAGUCCUGUUCUCCUACUAUAUGAAAUGUUUUAGGAUUCAUAAUAUGAAAAUAAUAGUAAUGAUGAUGAGAUGAGCGAUAUGAUACACAGUAGAAUAAAUAUGUCAUUUUUUUUUUUUUUUUUAAGACGGAGUCUUGCUCUGUCACCCAGGUGGCAGUGCAGUGGCAGGAUCUCGAAUCACUGCAAGCUCCACCC